GACGAACGCUGGCGGCGUGCUUAACACAUGCAAGUCGAACGGUAAGGCCCUUCGGGGUACACGAGUGGCGAACGGGUGAGUAACACGUGGGUGAUCUGCCCUGCACUUCGGGAUAAGCCUGGGAAACUGGGUCUAAUACCGGAUAGGACCAUGCGCUUCCCGGUGGGUGGUGGAAAGCUUUUGCGGUGUGGGAUGGGCCCGCGGCCUAUCAGCUUGUUGGUGGGGUAAUGGCCUACCAAGGCGACGACGGGUAGCCGGCCUGAGAGGGUGACCGGCCACACUGGGACUGAGAUACGGCCCAGACUCCUACGGGAGGCAGCAGUGGGGAAUAUUGCACAAUGGGCGCAAGCCUGAUGCAGCGACGCCGCGUGAGGGAUGACGGCCUUCGGGUUGUAAACCUCUUUCAGUAGGGACGAAGCGCAAGUGACGGUACCUACAGAAGAAGGACCGGCCAACUACGUGCCAGCAGCCGCAGUAA
rnacentral:rRNA from 1 species